AUUGCAAGGAGAAGAAUUCAUGUAUGUCAGUACCCUGAUAACAGUGUGAUGUUACUGUGAAUCCCGACAGUGCUAAAUUCUUGUUGCCAUUGGAUGGUUGGAAUGCUUCUUUGCUUUGGGCAGCUGAUGAUUCUCAUUGAUAUAAUGGGUAAUUUGCAUCUGAAAUAUUCAUUGAUGUUUUAUCAUCUUGGAGAACUGAUGCCCUUGUUCCUUUCCAUUUUCACCUUGGCAUAUCUGUGUGUUUCUAGAUUGUUUCUGUCCAUUUGAAUUACUUUUUUUCUGCCACUCUCAUUACCAAAAUCACUUUUCAUUAUUUAUUGUGGUCUUAAAUGGUGGCUAUUUUGUUUUAGACAAUGGUAUGCUUAACCUUGAUCCUACCAACCCCUUUGAGUGCUUUAAUAGCGAGCAUAUGCUGAAUUUUCAUUUGUUUUAGUGUGGUUCAAUAUGUCUGCGGAGAUGGUGUGGAAUGGGGUUUAUGUAUAACUCUGUGGCCAGUAGGGACUGUAAAUCUACUUACCUGUAUUGUUGACAUCAGAAGUAAGGAUUGAGUGAGGUUAGAGAUCAUUAUUUUGGCGAGAAGUU